GAUGAACGCUAGCGGCGGGCUUAAUACAUGCAAGUCAAGGGGUAGCAAUACACCGGCGUACGGGUGCGUAACGCGUAUGGAACCUGCCCUUAUCUGGGGGAUAACUCGGGGAAACUCGAGCUAAUACCGCAUAAGAUAGUAGAGAGGCAUCUUUCAGCUAUUAAAGAUUUAUCGGAUAAGGAUGGCCAUGCGUAAGAUUAGAUAGUUGGCGAGGUAACGGCUCACCAAGUCUACGAUCUUUAGGGGCUCUGAGAGGAGAAUCCCCCCACACUGGCACUGAGAUACGGGCCAGACUCCUACGGGAGGCAGCAGUAGGGAAUAUUGGCAAUGGGCGGAAGCCUGACCCAGCCACGCCGCGUGCAGGAAGACGGCCCUC
rnacentral:rRNA from 1 species